rnacentral:rRNA from 1 species
UAGCGGAGGAAAAGAAAAUAACAAUGAUUCCCCUAGUAACGGCGAGUGAAGAGGGAAAAGCUCAAAGUUGGAACCUGGUAGGCAUAGCUUACCCGGAUUGUAAACUAAAGUUUUCGAGUCGUUUAGUCAGCCAGGUAAAUAAGUCCUCUGGAAAGGGGCGACAUAGAGGGUGAAAUCCCCGUCUUUGGCCUGAGUUUUGAUUAGGCGUUUGGCUUGGAAACGAAGAGUCAGGUUGUUUGGGAAUGCAGCCUAAAAUGGGAGGUAAAUCUCUCCUAAAGCUAAAUAUUGACGAAAGACCGAUAGCGAACAAGUACCGUGAGGGAAAGAUGAAAAGCACUUUGAAAAGAGGGUCAAAAAGUACGUGAAAUUGCUGAAAGGGAACCGUAUGAAAUCAGACCUACUGGUAGGUAAUCAAUCUUUCCUUUGGGAAGGAUGCACUUGCCUACUAUGUAUGCCAGCGACAUUUUGGUUGGGAGGAAAAAAAUAAAGGAAAUGUAGCUUAGGUUUCGGCUUAGGUGUUAUAGUCCUUUAUAAAAUACUCUCGGCUGGAAUGAGGAACGCAGCAAACCGUAAGGCGAAGAUUUCAGGCGCUUAGAGGGAAUAAUUAGAGAAUUUCUGCUUCGGGUGGUGCUUUGAUUAUUACCUUUAACACGCUUGGAGUUCUUUAAU